CAGGACUUGAUUUUUUUUUUUUUUUAAUUUUUAAUUUUUUUAAUUUUUUUUUUUUUGUUGUUGUUUUUUUGGCCAGAUCAAGGUCUCGUCCGCAUUUCAGCUGCUGCAGAGCUCCCUGGGCAUCCCUCCCUCGCUCAGGAGAUGCCAGAGGGUCCCCCACUGGCCUCCCCUGCUUGGUUAGUGACAAAAAGAAUCCCAACCCUGCAGCAAACUGAGCUAGGAGAGAGGAGGGAUUGAUGGAAAAGUAGGAAUGGAAGGAAGAAGGAAUUUUUAAAAUGCUGUUUCCCCAAGCUGGGCACUGGAGUUUGCCAGUGGGUCAGGGAGGGCUGGGGGGAGGCUGCUUCCCAAAGCGGUUUUAUUUUUGUUGUUGUUGUUUUGUUUGUUUGUUUUCCCCAUUUUCUUAAGGAAAAAAAAAAUGAAAGAACGAACGAAAAGGGGAAUUUAUCGAUGCAGAGGCACCUGGAUGGGUUAUCCCAGCAUGGGGACCUGGGAUCUGACACUGGUUGUGUUUGAUUUAUCUGAGUUGCUUUCUUUUCAUAAAGCAUCCAGUUUUCCCUCUGCUCCAGGGCCAGUCCUGUCCCCUGUGACAGCAGCCUUAGUACAUUGAUUUUUGGGAAGGAUCUCUGGGUGUUGGAUCCCUCCUGCUGUAACUUGGCAGUGGGAAUUGUCUUUUUCUUUUUUUUUUUUUUUUUUUUUUGUCUUUUGUUUUAAUUUUUUUUAAGAGCCGAGGAGAACACCUCCCUGAAAACCAGGGAUUUCUGCCAUUUGUAACUUUCAGAACCCUUCAAGAAUUAAAAAAGACGAAACAAAAAUCCCAACAUCUGGUGGGAUUUGCCAGCAGAUGGGAGUGAUUUGUCCCCGGAAUCCUGGGCCAGUGCUGCCCAUCCUGCCGAGACCCUUGCGCUGUUCAUUUCAAUGAGACUUAAAAAGAGAUGAAUAAAACAAAGUUUAUAAAAAUGGAGAAGUGGAGAUUGGAAAAUUAAAUAUUUCCUGUUACUGUA